UGACUUAAAUGUUUGUGUUGUUUUAUAAAAGAAAAUAAAUAAAAAUGGGAAAAUGAGAGAGGCACCGUAACAGUAACCGAAAAUCCUCAAUCUCGUCCUCUCCCCACGAAAUCUCUCUCGCUCUCAAUCGAAUCUCUCUCUAGCGCUCUCAAUCGCUCACGAUUUUUUCUCUCUCACUCUCAAUCGCUAUCCCUCAACUCUCAUCUUACUCAAACACUCUGGAACAUGCAAGAAAUCAUGGCUGAAAUAAAAAGGAGCUCACCUUCGACGGCGACGACGGCGACGAUGAAAGCUUAAACCUCCUUCAACUCUUCAAACCAGCUUUAGGGUUUCAAUUGGUUAUCCAAAGAUUCAAUAGGGAAACUUCCUGGAAACGCUUUUUUUGCUCAGAAUUUGGUCCAUCUCGUUUGAUACUACAAUCUGGAAACGUGAAUUCAGAGUAUUCAUGAGUAACUUCGGUUCUUUCCCGUGGCCUUGGUUAUGUACUCGGUUUUGGGUGGCUUGUGAGACAGACAUCUGAAGUUUCUGCGGUAGAGCUCUGAACUGAUGAAGGCCCUUUCUCACGCCCAGAACCACCAAUGUAAUAUCAGUCAACCAAAUGUAGCUGCAACUCCUGGAUGGUACAGAGACGGUCUUUAGGCACACUAAUGGACUUCAUGCUUUGGUUGAAGUGAAUGGCCGGACUGACCUUGGAUGUCACAGAAGAAAAAAUGAGGGAUUAUCAUUUCUUUUUCCAAUCUCUUGUGGGUAACCUGUGAGAGGAUUAAUAAACGUGAAAGCUCAACUGUCAAUUUCAAGCUUGUGAUCAAUUAUCCGGAAAAUCCUAGCAACUGCAACCCUCGCCUUCGUAAACGCAGCCAUGUAAUUGCAAUUUCCAGUUCAAUCAAUUUCCUUGGAGAACUAUACAUUUGACUUCAGCUUCUUCAUUUGAUAAAAACAGUCCUGCCCCGUCUCUACAAGUACUUUCCAACAACUGCCCCAGCCUUACGACCUCAAGCCAACACUCACUUUCACGCAAGCAAACUCUAUUAUGCUGAGAUAAGCUCAUUAAUCGCCACUGAGUUGAAGGGAGCACGGGAAAGUUCAAGAAUGAAAGGGGGUUUGCUGAACUGAAACCUCUUAUCCCACCAGAACAGAUUGCUACUGAUGGUGCUAAGACAUUGCUGAGGAUCAGUAUCCAUUUGCCCUACUAAAACAGUGCUGUAAAAGAUGGAAAAAAGGACUAGGUCAAAUGUGCAAGUACUGCAUGAAGAUCUUCAGACUUCAACACGAGCUUGCGAUAUUAACAUGAGAUUGUAAUGUAGCUUCGUCAAGCCCAUAGAGAGCAUCAAUCAAGUGCAUUCGUAACGACGCAGGAUCUUUAGCCAUCUUCAUUCCUAACUCGCCGGCAACACCAAACACAGCUUGUGUCGAUACUGCCGCAUCAAAAGCAUGGCUUUUGUCAACUGCAACAAAGGCAACAAUGAAUAAGUGGUCCCGUGUGAGCUUCUUUGCUUUUUGUAGUGAGGUCACAGGUUGUAAUUUUGGUGAAAUUUGUUGGAUAGUUGGAAGUUCGGUCUCACGAGCAAGGCGUUCAGCAGCAUCCAAUGCAUUGCCGGUUUGAGUUUGUUUGAGUUUUGAAUCUCUUGAACUUGGCUCUCAUUCUAGUGUGGACCUCUCUCUUGUUGGAAGUGUGAGUGAUGGAUUACUCCGGCUAUAACUAUUGUAGUGUAAAUAUUGGCACAACAGCUUUCUAUCUCACAGUAAGGUGUACAAAUCUAGAAGAUUGGCCAACGGUGUAGAAGUCUCCAAGGUCUCCUUUGCAAACCUCUGCUGCUUAAAAAUCGGAAAUGCAUCCAGUAUUACCGUAUUCAAUAGUCGAAAUGCCAAUUUAAUGAGAACAACUCUUGUAUCUGCUGUGGCGAAGAACGUUGUAGUCCGGAAGUCUGCUUCAACAAACUUGCUAGCUAUGUUGCUGUCUCGAGCUAUCUUAAUCAGGUGACUUAGCUUAGAAAACCCCUUCAAGCCAAUCAAAAUAAACUUGUUGCUCAUGCUAGGACCUGUAUGAUUCGGUUCCAUCCUAUAAUCUGAACAUUCAGCCGACAGCAAGGAAAAUGGAGGAAAUCAUUAUUCUGCAUUUUUCAGUCUCUUCCCAAUAUCUACACAGUCUUCUUUUUUGCCAUAAACGUAUCAGUAACAACCUCUUGCUGCUCCUUGAUUUUUGACAACACCUUGAAGAGAUGGAAUCGAACUUAACAUAUCUGAUGCAGUUUGCUUAUGAGAUUUGGACAUGAACUGUGAUAAAUGCAUGUCUUUUGCACAAAAGCAAACCAAAUUGCAAUGCAUUAUCUAACCGAUCUAUUUCAUCUGAAACUUGACUUGAAAACUCUUGAAGUAAGCCUUGCUUGAAUAUUUAUUUUGACAUUUCGCUUCUUUGAUCGAUUUGGCAGGUUGUUAUAGCAGAACUUUCAGUCAUGUUAAUCUACUAUUGUUAUGCUAUACAUUAUUGUUAAUAUUGUUAGCAGUUAUAUGAAAUGGAUUAUUGGUUGAUUAGUGAACGAAUUGUGACUACAUUUCCUUGCUUUGUUGCAGAUUAUGCCAUCUCUGUGGUCCUGAUCCGGUUGUUACGCAUUGCAGACCGGCACCAGCAUACAACUAGUGGGCAAUGUUGUUCUGCAGCAUGUUGGCUUCCCGAAUAGAGCAGAAUUUAUGAUAGGCUCGUGAUUGAUUAGAUUGAUGCAUUGCAAACUGGUUUUGGCUCGUAAACGGCUUGUUGAGCAUGGCCAUGGUUAGGAUUAGUAACUCUGAAUUUGGUAGGCGACAAAGUUGCUAGAUUUAGGAUUAUUUGUGUUAGCUUUUUGUGUGUUGUAUUGUCAUGAAGGUUCUAUUUUAUGAAUUUGAAAAUUGGAUGUAACAAAUGAGAAUCCGCUGUUAUUUCGGGGAUUGCCCAAGGUUGUAGCAGCUUUGAAAUGUGAAUGUGUUGGUUUGAAUUUUUGUAUUUCGUUUCAAACAUUGUAAUCAAAGGUCCGUGAAAUGACGCAAUGGCUUUGGUUUGAAUGA